UGUCAUUGUCUAUAUGUCUCUUUGAAGUUUGUGAUAGACUGCCUAAUGGAUAAAUUGCCCUAUGUUAAUUUGUGUAACUAAUUACUGCUGGUGUUUAGAAAACAGGAAGUUACAUCAAAAGCCUAUUGUUUACCCAGGACUACAUGGUCAAGUGUAUGCUAGAACACUGUAUAAAAAGAUCCCUAUGUCCCGAUUCUGUCAUCUCAGAUCUGCUUGAGGCUUCAUACAGGGGAAGCUUAAGCCAUAAGCACUGAGAUCCCAGUCCUAAGCUGGAACACUCUGCAAUGACAUUGGACAUUGGACUAUAACCUAUGAAAUAUUUCUGAAAGAACUCUUUGCAACUACAAAGCUCACCAUCUCUGCUAUGAAUCUGAACUUCAGUGAAUUGAACUCAUGUUUAUGUGCCCUGAAGGGGAACCCCUUAUAUACUGUCUGAGUGCCUCUGUCCGAUAAGAAAGUGACCCAGGAGGAGUAAGGAGGACAUGUUUAGGGAGGUGCUCCAAUUGUAUGAUGCUGCAGAUCAUCAUCACAGGGCACGGAGAGAGACAAUUACGAAAAAUUGAAAAUAGAUAGCCUGGAGAGGAAGCAAGACCAGGAGCAUAUUUUAGUGGGCCAGGAGCAAAUGAUAACAUUAAUGGAGGACCAAACAGAGAUGCUGAAGUCCCUGAUUGCACUGCAGUCAGAACACAUGCAGCCCAUCCAGAACUGCGUGCCAUGUCCUCCCCAAGCUCCCCACCCGCAGUCCUUGCGUGUUCUCGGCCCGUCACAGUACCCCUUUCACUCCACCGUAAUUACAGCUGCACUUACACACAGCUAUGAGCACUUCCAUUAAGAGAGUGCUCCUCAGUGUCAUGUCCCUUAUAAGACAUCAAAUGCUGUGUAUUGGUUAUUGCUGUUUAAUAAAAAUGUACUUAUAGAAAGAAAA